rnacentral:lncRNA from 1 species
UGUCGGAUUGUAUUAAUUUAUUUGAGCCACAGCCUGAUACAACCCAAAAGUCCAGUUAAUUCUUGGCUCAAGACAGACGACUGAGACUUCACAGAGCAUAAAAGAAUUAGCAGAAAACACACAUUGCAAACAGACAUCCGAAAAGAAAACCUUUCCCCAAAGCUCAACAACACCGAGGAACUCAACAGACUCUUCUGCAGAAGCCCGAUGAAGAUUUGUACAUCGUUAAUUCGAUUGCAGAGGGUGCAUGUUAAACAGAAAAGAACUGAGUUUGUCACUGUCAUCUGAAUCCAUUCAGUCAGUGCAACAAAGGUAUAUUUAACUAAAAUAUGAAACAGACUUGCUAACACCGCAUUAUUUUCUCAGGCUUACAAAGUUAAAAAAAAAAUUUAAACUGAAUAUAAAUGACUUUGAGCAUUUUUUAUGACACCCACAGCCUAAGUGAUCCAGAUAAUGUAAUCUAACCAUCAUUAGAAACCAUGAAAUUAUAAUUCCUCUGGGAUGGAUAUUUAUCUCUCUGUUACAUACAGAAAGGCGAUUAAUUAGUAGCUCUUUCAGUGUUUAACAUUACUGUGUACUGAGGCUGAUUAAAAUCUAACUAUAGAACAGCUAUCAUAGCUAACACAUAAUCUGGGGAAAGUUUAGCUGGGGCAUGAAGAAGAAGCACCUUAAAAAGAAAACUUAAAGAAAAUGUACUCUUAGAAGUAGGUAGCUUCAAAGCCAAAACCCUGGCUUCCUUCUAAUUUCUAUUGCACACAGUAAUCAUGACAAUUACUGAGAUUUCAAAACCCUCAAUAUUAAAACCAACUAAACCCAUGUCAAAUAUUUUUGCAAAGUGGUGAAAUUCACAGGAUACCCAUUUGUUUUCAAGGAAUGUAUACAGGGCAGAGUCAUGAAGUGAAUCACACAGCAGUGUCUUGAAUGGCUUAUUCUGAAAUGUAAAUGGGAGCGUUCGCUGGGGCAUGUGUGUGUGUGUGUACCCUGUAUGGACAGCACAGCGCACACACGCUGUGUGGGCUAAAUUCAUAUUUCUGGUGUAAUUUCACUGGCUCGUGUGGAAUGCACCAAAGAUGUGUCAAUGUGUGUGUGCAGUUUCCUCCAGGAUCUCACGUGGGACAAGAGGACAUGGAUAAUUUCACCUUGGGAGAAAUAAACAGAGGCAACUUGAGUAAGUUUGAUUUCCAGAGCAUUCCUACUGUGAAUGAAACUAUUGGAAGAAUUUCAUGCAAGGGCAGCUGAAAUGCCAGAAAAAUCCCAAAUCACUACUUGUUAUUUUGAAAAUAAUAUCCUAUUUCGGCACCACUGUACCAAGGUAUGUGCAGUUUUUUAGGUUUUGUGCCGGUUGGGAAGAGAGAAGAAACUUGAAAAGCAAAUAUGAACAGCUCAGCAAAAAGACCAAGGUAGCCCUGGUUUUCUCUAAUUUUUGGAAACUAUCUGCUGAGACCACAAAUCAGUAUUGGACAUAGAUCGUAUUUUAGUGAGGAUACACAGAAAGAAAUUAGAAGUAAUUUUAAAAUGAAGCAUAAAGAAAGAACAUUUUAUCAUCACUCCCGCAGCCCCCCAGUUCAGGUCCCAAAGAACUGAGCCACUGAUUCCUAAUCCUCUCCAUUGUGCCAAGUAUUGUGUAGAUGCUGCUCUCUUCUGGCUGUCUACACAAAUUUUAAUAUGCAAAAUAUUAAUAAAAAGUGAAAUAAAAGGCUGAGAAAAAUCAAAUAUGGCCUCAAUGUGCUGAUGGUAAUGGAGGCACCCCUAU